rnacentral:rRNA from 1 species
GACGAACCGUGCGAACGUUAUUCGGAAUCACUGGGCUUAAAGCGUGUGUAGGCGGACCGUUAAGUACCUUGUGAAAUCCCCCGGCUCAACCGGGGAACGGCUGGGUAUACUGGCGGUCUUGAGCCAUCCAGGGGCAGUCGGAACAGACGGUGGAGCGGUGAAAUGCGUAGAUAUCGUCUGGAACGCCGAAGGUGAAAACAGACUGCUGGGGAUGAGCUGACGCUGAGACACGAAAGCCAGGGGAGCGAACGGG